UACGUAGGGUGCAAGCGUUGUCCGGAAUUAUUGGGCGUAACGAGCUCGUAGGCGGUUCGUCGCGUCGGCUGUGAAAACCCGGAGCUCAACUCCGGGCCUGCAGUCGAUACGGACGGACUUGAGUGUUGCAGGGGAGACUGGAAUUCCUGGUGUAGCGGUGAAAUGCGCAGAUAUCAGGAGGAACACCGGGGGCGAAGGCGGGUCUCUGGGCAUUACCUGACGCUGAGGAGCGAAAGUGUGGGGAGCGAACAGG
rnacentral:rRNA from 1 species